AGGUACCAUGUUGUGGAUUUGCGAGGAAGGGUAUGUUAAGGCUAUCAAGGAGGAGAUCAGCAAGGUUGUCAAGCUCCAAGAAGAACUUGACAUUGAUGUCCUUGUUCACGGAGAGCCUGAGAGGAACGAUAUGGUUAAGUACUUUGGAGAGAAAUUUUCUGGUUUGCAUUCACCAGGAAUGGAUUGGUACAAUCAUAUGGAUCUCGAUGUGUGAAGCCACCAAUUAUCUAUGGUAAUGUCAGCCGCCCCAAGCCAGUGAUUGUUUUCUGGUCAUCCACUGCUUAGAGCAUGACUUCCCGCCCAAUGAAGGGUAUGCAUAUAGGGCCUGUGACCAUCCUCAACUGGUC